GACGAACGCUGGCGGCGUGCCUAACACAUGCAAGUCGAGCGAUUCUCUUCGGAGAAGAGCGGCGGACGGGUGAGUAACGCGUGGGUAACCUGCCCUGUACACACGGAUAACAUACCGAAAGGUAUGCUAAUACGAGAUAAUAUACUUUUAUCGCAUGGUAGAAGUAUCAAAGCUCCGGCGGUACAGGAUGGACCCGCGUCUGAUUAGCUAGUUGGUAAGGUAACGGCUUACCAAGGCGACGAUCAGUAGCCGACCUGAGAGGGUGAUCGGCCACAUUGGAACUGAGGCACGGUCCAAACUCCUACGGGAGGCAGAAGUGGGGAAUAUUGCACAAUGGACGGAAGUCUGAUGCAGCGACGCCGCGUGAGGGAUGAAGGCCUUCGGGUUGUAAACCUUUUUCGCUUUUGACCAAGGCAGCAUUUUGGUGUUGUUGAGGGUAUGAGGUAAAGAAGCUCCGGCUAACUACGUGCCAG
rnacentral:rRNA from 1 species